UCGUUGUUGAAAUACCACCCUUGGAUUACUUGAUAUCUAAUCCGCCAAAAGCGGAGACAUUGUGUGGUGGGUAGUUUGACUGGGGUGGUCGCCUCCAAAAGAGUAACGGAGGCUUCUAAAGGUACCCUCAGCACGCUUGGUAACCGUGCGCAGAGUAUAAUGGCAUAAGGGUGCUUGACUGGGAGACUUACAAGUCGAUCAGGUACGAAAGUAGAGCAUAGUGAUCCGGUGGUUCCGUAUGGAAGGGCCAUCGCUCAAAGGAUAAAAGGUACUCCGGGGAUAACAGGCUGAUUCCUCCCAAGAGUCCACAUCGACGGAGGAGUUUGGCACCUCGAUGUCGGCUCAUCACAUCCUGGGGCUG
rnacentral:rRNA from 1 species